rnacentral:rRNA from 1 species
GUAGCGGCGAGCGAAGCGGGAAGAGCUCAAAUUUAUAAUCUGGCACUUUCGGUGUCCGAGUUGUAAUCUCUAGAAGUGUUUUCCGCGUUGGACCGCACACAAGUCUGUUGGAAUACAGCGGCAUAGUGGUGAAACCCCCGUAUAUGGUGCGGACGCCCAGCGCUUUGUGAUACACUUUCAAUGAGUCGAGUUGUUUGGGAAUGCAGCUCAAAUUGGGUGGUAAAUUCCAUCUAAAGCUAAAUAUUGGCGAGAGACCGAUAGCGAACAAGUACCGUGAGGGAAAGAUGAAAAGCACUUUGGAAAGAGAGUUAACAGUACGUGAAAUUGUUGGAAGGGAAACGCUUGAAGUCAGACUUGCUUGCCGGAGCUUGCUUCGGUUUGCAGGCCAGCAUCAGUUUUCCGGGGUGGAUAAUGACGGUUUGAAGGUAGCAGUCUCGGCUGUGUUAUAGCUUUCCGUUGGAUACGCCCUGGGGGACUGAGGAACGCAGCGUGCUUUUUGCGAAAGACUCGUCUUUUUCACGCUUAGGAUGCUGGUGGAAUGGCUUUAAACGACCCGUCUUGAAACACGGACCAAGGAGUCUAACAUGCUCGCGAGUAUUUGGGUGUCAAACCCGGAUGCGCAAUGAAAGUGAAUGUAGGUGGGAACCGCAAGGUGCACCAUCGACCGAUCUGGAUUUUUUAAGAUGGAUUUGAGUAAGAGCGCGUAUGUUGGGACCCGAAAGAUGGUGAACUAUGCCUGAAUAGGGCGAAGCCAUUAACUCUGGUGGAGGCUCGUAGCGGUUCUGACGUGCAAAUCGAUCGUCAAAUUU